GAUGAACGCUAGCGGCAGGCCUAAUACAUGCAAGUCGGACGGGAUUCAGGAGCUUGCUUCUGAUGAGAGUGGCGCACGGGUGCGUAACACGUAUGUAACCUACCUUUAUCAGGGGGAUAGCCUCUCGAAAGAGAGAUUAAGCCCGCAUAAAAUCACAGCACAGCAUUGUGUAAUGAUCAAAUAUUUAUAGGAUAAAGAUGGGCAUGCGGAACAUUAGCUAGAUGGCGGGGUAACGGCCCACCAUGGCGACGAUGUUUAGGGGAUCUGAGAGGAUGGCCCCCCACACUGGUACUGAGACACGGACCAGACUCCUACGGGAGGCAGCAGUAAGGAAUAUUGGUCAAUGGGCGGAAGCCUGAACCAGCCAUGCCGCGUGCAGGAAGACGGCCCUACGGGUCGUAAACUGCUUUUAUACGGGAAGAAACCCAGAUACGUGUAUCUGGCUGAAUGUACUGUAAGAAUAAGGAUCGGCUAACUCCGUG
rnacentral:rRNA from 1 species